rnacentral:rRNA from 1 species
GAUGAACGCUGGCGGCGUGCCUAAUACAUGCAAGUCGAGCGAACAGACGAGGAGCUUGCUCCUCUGACGUUAGCGGCGGACGGGUGAGUAACACGUGGAUAACCUACCUAUAAGACUGGGAUAACUUCGGGAAACCGGAGCUAAUACCGGAUAAUAUAUUGAACCGCAUGGUUCAAUAGUGAAAGACGGUUUUGCUGUCACUUAUAGAUGGAUCCGCGCCGCAUUAGCUAGUUGGUAAGGUAACGGCUUACCAAGGCAACGAUGCGUAGCCGACCUGAGAGGGUGAUCGGCCACACUGGAACUGAGACACGGUCCAGACUCCUACGGGAGGCAGCAGUAGGGAAUCUUGCGCAAUGGGCGAAAGCCUGACGCAGCCACGCCGCGUGCGUGAUGAAGGUCUUCGGAUCGUAAAACUCUGUUAUUAGGGAAGAAAAAAUGUGUAAGUAACUAUGCACGUCUUGACGGUACCUAAUCAGAAAGCCACGGCUAACUACGUG